rnacentral:rRNA from 1 species
CAGUAGGGAAUCUUCCGCAAUGGACGAAAGUCUGACGGAGCAACGCCGCGUGAGUGAUGAAGGUUUUCGGAUCGUAAAGCUCUGUUGUUAGGGAAGAACAAGUACCGUUCGAAUAGGGCGGUACCUUGACGGUACCUAACCAGAAAGCCACGGCUAACUACGUGCCAGCAGCCGCGGUAAUACGUAGGUGGCAAGCGUUGUCCGGAAUUAUUGGGCGUAAAGGGCUCGCAGGCGGUUUCUUAAGUCUGAUGUGAAAGCCCCCGGCUCAACCGGGGAGGGUCAUUGGAAACUGGGGAACUUGAGUGCAGAAGAGGAGAGUGGAAUUCCACGUGUAGCGGUGAAAUGCGUAGAGAUGUGGNANGGAACACNCAGUGGCGAANGGCGACUCUCUGGUCUGUAACUGACGCUGAGGAGCGAAAGCGUGGGGAGCGAACAGGAUUAGAUACCCUGGUAGUCCACGCCGUAAACGAUGAGUGCUAAGUGUUAGGGGGUUUCCGCCCCUUAGUGCUGCAGCUAACGCAUUAAGCACUCCGCCUGGGGANGNUNACGNGUCGCAAGACUGAAACUCAAAGGAAUUGACGGGGGCCCGCACAAGCGGUGGAGCAUGUGGUUUAAUUCGAAGCAACGCGAAGAACCUUACCAGGUCUUGACAUCCUCUGACAAUCCUAGAGAUAGGACGUCCCCUUCGGGGGCAGAGUGACAGGUGGUGCAUGGUUGUCGUCAGCUCGUGUCGUGAGAUGUUGGGUUAAGUCCCGCAACGAGCGCAACCCUUGAUCUUAGUUGCCAGCAUUCAGUUGGGCACUCUAAGGUGACUGCCGGUGACAAACCGGAGGAAGGUGGGGAUGACGUCAAAUCAUCAUGCCCCUUAUGACCUGGGCUACACACGUGCUACAAUGGACAGAACAAAGGGCAGCG